rnacentral:lncRNA from 1 species
AUGAACUUUAGCUUUUACUUGGAGGUUCCAGAAUCAUCAUUUUUCUUCAGUGAGAAUAAACACUGGACUCUUACAUAUCUGUUCCCUCUUUCCUGUAUCUCUUCCCAUACUUAUUGUUAUCCUUUACCGAAGAAGGAAAGCCUAAGCUUGUUGUUUAGAGACAUGCCUGAAAAGCUGGAGGCCACAUAGCAUGGAGAGAAGAGCUGUGGACUGGUGGUGAGGGGUGUGAUUCCAAAUCCCAGGGCUGCUAAACUAUGGUCUACGGACCAUAGUUAUUUUAUCCGCAAAAUGAGAAGGGAUGACAAGGUAAUUUCAAAGGCCAAAUCCAGUUCUAAAUUUUCCAACUAUAACUUUAAAGUGGUGAUGACUUUUUCUUUUUUAACGAUUCCAUAAUUAGUGGUUAACUUGAUGUGCAACCUUUUACAAAGUACUUAACCUCUCUGUGCCAUGGUUUUCUAACUUUAAAUUGCAGUGUGUGUACUAUAUGAUCUCUAAAUUGUCAUCUCUAAAAUAUGAUUACUCUAAAAUACUGUACACCAUAUUCCUAACACUAGUUUGAUCCCUGAGUGAGUUAAAAUUCUACUUUUGGGUGGAAUUACAAGAAUCAGUGAAAUCCCAAGCAUGUAAGUAAAAGCGCUACCUAUAUCUAACAUGGAUAUAUCUCCAAACAUAUUUGUAUGAGCCUCAAGAGUAUAUUUGGCUUCGGUACACCCACAGUACUUCUACUGUUGUUUGGUUUGUUAUUGAGGACAGCAACAGAAAAUGUAGUGUGCCUCGCCAGGGGUCAUCUCCUCCCCAACCUCACUCCAUGGCAUUCAAUAGACAAAGUAAUCUAAAUUUUUGAGUUCAACUCUGUUUCCUCCAAAAGCCUUUAUAGUUUAAGCUGAGCCUCAUUAAGGGACUGCCUAAGGUUUUGAAACAUAAUUAAAUAAGUAUUUCCUAUACUUGUUCUGGAAAAAAGACUUUAGUACAGCAAAUCUAUAUUCAAACUUCAUUAUACACGUUCAGAAGAAAGCUACAGACUACUAGGAUUUCUUCAUAUUCAACAAAAGAGAAGCCUUUUCCUGAUGUUUUGUCUUGAAGCCAAGCUUACAAUCCUCUUAGUAGUAAAUUAAAGACCAGUUUUAUUGGGUACAUACUAUAUGCCAAGAAUGAUGUUAAAACUUCAGGUGCAGAAUUUCAUUUAAUCUUUAUAAUCCAAUGAUUUAUAACCUUUACAUAAAUGAAGAAAAUACAACCUUAAAAGUGUAACCUAUUAAGUUUAAAACUGAAGUAUCUUGAACUCAGACUUGGUCUGUCCCUCGGUUUAUGUGUGUGUGUGCAUACGGCACACACAUAUGUACAUACACAGGUCUAGUUUAAUUCGUUCCUAUCAUCAUUAUUAAAGGUUCAAUCUUUCUUAUCUACUUGUAUUAUGAGCACAUAGAUAAUGGCAUAUUUACAAUCUGAAUAUUAGAAGAGUGUAGUUAAGUUUAGAGCUAACAAACAGUUUUAUUUUCUAUUACUCCCAUGUUAUUUCAAAGCAAAUUCUUAGCAUCACAGCAUUUCAUCUGUACAGAUUUCAGAAUUUGUGACUAAAAUAUAAGGCAUUUUGUAUAAUGCUAUAACAAUACAUUUAUCACAUGUACUCCAAAAACAAUAAUUUCAAUGAAAUAUUCAAUCAACGCUUUUUGAAAUAAAAUUGAAAGUUAGAAAUUAUUUUGAACUAAAUUAAAUUUAAAAUAUUAUAUAUCAAAACUUGUG